UGGGGAAUAUUGCACAAUGGGCGCAAGCCUGAUGCAGCCAUGCCGCGUGUGUGAAGAAGGCCUUCGGGUUGUAAAGCACUUUCAGCGGGGAGGAAGGCGAUAAGGUUAAUAACCUUGUCGAUUGACGUUACCCGCAGAAGAAGCACCGUCUAACUCCGUGCCAGCAGCCGCGGUAAUACGGAGGGUGCAAGCGUUACUCGGAAUUACUGGGCGUAAAGCGCACGCAGGCGGUUUGUUAAGUCAGAUGUGAAAUCCCCGGGCUAAACCUGGGAACGGCAUCUGAUACUGGCAAGCUUGAGUGUCGUAGAGGGGGGUAGAAUUCCAGGUGUAGAGGUGAAAUGAGUAGAGAGCUGGAGGAAUACCGGUGGCGAAGGCGGGCCCCUGGACGAAGACUGACGCUCAGGUGCGAAAGCGUGGGGAGCAAACAGG
rnacentral:rRNA from 1 species